rnacentral:rRNA from 1 species
CGUGUAGGUGGACGGGUAAGUCAGAUGUGAAAGCCUUCUGCUUAACAGAAGAAGUGCAUUUGAAACUGCUCGGCUAGAGUACGGGAGAGGAGAGUGGAAUUCCCGGUGUAGAGGUGAAAUUCGUAGAUAUCGGGAGGAACACCAGUGGCGAAGGCGGCUCUCUGGUCCGAUACUGACGCUGAGACGCGAAAGCGUGGGGAGCAAACAGGAUUAGAUACCCUGGUAGUCCACGCCGUAAACGAUGGGCACUAGGUGUAGGAGGUAUUGACCCCUUCUGUGCCGAAGCUAACGCAUUAAGUGCCCCGCCUGGGGAGUACGGCCGCAAGGCUAAA